rnacentral:ribozyme from 1 species
UGCCCAGCAACUCCUAUCCUUACCUCCACGCGGUACCGGCCGGAAACUAUGAGCAACCUUAGGGAAGAUCGGGUAACCAACCCCGAUGGGAACUUUGGUCGUAGGCUGACAGGGAAGG